UGUUAAGACAUGUUGAUAUUACUACAUUUGCAUUUAGAUUGCUGUACACUAUUUCCUUCAUCAGUGACAUAAACAUUACCUUUUGUUGCAGCAUUACAUGAGAAGAGUGCAUGAUUCUAGCUAAUUUGGCUUACUAGUUUUAUAGCGGACCGGUCACCCUCUCUUGACUUGCAUAUUUUGCAAAGACUCCCUGUGGUGACAUCUCCUCUUGGUGCAGUGGCCUUAUGCUAUCCCCCUGUUGGUGUCACCACAUUCGAUAUUCAGCUCAUGGUACUUCAUCCACCAGGAGCCCAUGUGCAUGUGCAAGAGUACAACAUUAUGGGGGAUCACAAUAGACUUCCGCAGCCUUCAUAGUAUUGUCUAGCUAUCAGCGAAAUUGUCUUAUGCUAUCUUUUGACUGUGUCUGAAUUUAAUUGAAAUACCAAUGCACUCUUUUUGAGCAUUUCAUAAAUAUGACAUCCGUUAACCCCUUAAGGACACAUGACAUGUGUGACAUGUCAUGAUUCCCUUUUAUUCCAGAAGUUUGGUCCUUAAGGGGUUAAAAUAUGCUCAUAAUGUUUUUUGGGAGUGACAUAGCUGCCUUAAAUACUCUAUUUCAAGGGAAAUAUUGUCUUAAUUCUUUGCUAUUGUAUUUCAGAAACUGAAUGAAACUGCAAAGAGUGAAGAUAGAUAUGAGUCUCAGAAGAUGAAAACUUAGGGUUUAAAUAUUUAAUGUGUGUAAAGGAUGAGGUACAUAAAUGGUGGAUGGUGAUGAUCUGUGGGUUAUAGUUGUGAUUAUUUUCUCCUGCAGGUUAUUCCAGGAUGAAGGACUCCCUUACCCUGCUGACUCGGGUUUCUGCUCACCCUGACUCCCGUUGCUGGUUCGUGGCAUGGAAUCCCACCGGAACAUUACUGGCCUCGUGUGGAGGCGAUCGGAUUAUCCGGAUUUGGGGCAAAGAUGGUGUGUGCAUGUACAGGAAUGACCUUCCGCUCUUUUGUUUAAGGAUUACCUAAAGCAUCAUGACCUCUUUGGUGAUUUACAGCAAUCAUGGUGCUUGGAGUCUAUCUGUGCAGCAGCGGU